AGAAUUUUUUGGCAAACUUGUCGAAAGACAAGGACGCAAAGCUAUGGAUCUAACUAUACCAAAUGACGGUAUAAAUGAUUGCCAAGCCGCAACU
rnacentral:ncRNA from 1 species